CAAGAAAUAGUUUAUUGUAAAAUUUUAAUUUUGGAGAUUAACGAAGGGUGAUACUCUUUCUUGA
rnacentral:tRNA from 1 species